CUUAUCAUUUACAUUUAUUUAUUCCUCUCUACCUGAAACUGAGAGAAGGCGGUCAUGGAGAUCGUCAGAGGAAAUUAGAGAAAUCAAAGGGGUUUUGAGUUAAGCAGUUAAUGAAGUUGAUAGUUCAAUCGAUUCAGAAAAUGGUGAUGUUCUCUUAAGAAGAAAUUAAGGAAGAACUGCAGUCAUUAAAAGAAGAAAUUGAAGAGAUUGAGAGGGGUUUUGGUUCUGUUGGUGUUUCCAUUUAUAAGCUGGGCAGGAAAUGGAGUUCGAGUUCGAUUCAGAAGGGGAAUUUAGGGUUUCUACAAUCAAAGAGAGAAAUCCAGGAAGAAAAGAUUAAAGUGAAGAUGGGUUUUGGUCCGAGUUUGAAUCCAUGGAAUUAAGAGUUCGAUGGUGAUACAGUAGUGGAGUUGGUGCUGCUGCUGAAGUACCAGAUGAAGAACUGCCGUUUAAUUGGAGUUUGGUGUUGUCGAAUUGAGCUGAGAUUGAGAAGUAGAAGAUGUUGUUCUGGCCAGUUGCUUAUGGGUUAGCUGAGAAUUAGAAGAUGGUAGUACUAGUGCCACUGAAUCUUGAUGCCGAUGGAAGAACUGGUGGGAAUUAUGGUCAAAAACAAUAUGAUUUUGGUGACUUGUGCUGAUUCAAGGGGUUAUGAGCUGCAAUUGGAGAUGAAUCUGGUGGUGCAAUUGGCUAGGAUGGAAUAGCGUUGCUUCAAGGAUUAAUGGGUUGUAUGAGUUAAUGAUUACAGGAGCAAGGAGGAACUAAGAUGGUGUUGUUGCCAUUGAGUUCAGUUGGACAGAAUUUGAGACAAGGAAUUGUUGGUGACUGUAUGGGUUGUGCAGCUUGAGUGUGAAGUUGCAGUUGUAGGUGAAAUAGAUAGUGAAGCUGUUGUUGUGUCACAAUGAAUAGAUUCGCAGUGAAGGGUUGGCUUUGUUGCAGUUCAAGCUGGUUCGAGUUGACUUGGUGAUGCCUGGAUUUGUGAUGUAUGGGUAUAAACUGAUGGCAUAUGGGUAUAUUGAUGCCAUGUUUAGAACAGUGGGUUCUUGGAAGGCCUAAAGCUGAGAUUGCAGAGAUUAUCUGUGGUGGUAAUGGAAAUGCAGGUGGCUUCAUAACUCUUUGCAGAAAUGCACUGGUGGUGUUGUUGCUGUGUAGAUGGAAUGAUGAUGAUUUAGAGCAGAAUGGGGCUGCUGUGAGAGCUUGAGUUGAGCAAGAGUUACAGAUAGAGCUACAUGUGCAGUUGCAGGUGCUUAACAAAUGAUUGUCAUGAUGCUGAAAUGAGAAGUGGAACUGUUGGAGAUGGCAGUGCAAUUACAGAUGAUGCAGGAGGAAUCGCAGGUCAUGGGUGCAGCUGCAAUGGAGGAACUCAAUGAGAAAUUAGGGAUGUAGAUGGAUUUGCUGGUGUUUACAGGCAAGAUUUGGUGGAUGCUACUGCUCGUGAGGAAACUGAUGGCUAGAGUUGAAUGGAGAUAGUAUGGCUGUGACAGAGUUGGUGGUGCUGCUUCAAGGAACUGACAUGGGUAGUUGUUAGUUAAUGGCUGAGAAGAUGCAAGUUAUGGUGAAUGUGCAGCUGGUUAUGAGGUUGAAGUGAUGCAGUCGAUGGAGUUUGAAGUUGAGAGGAAUGGCUCAAGUUCAGGGGUUGUGUUGAUUGAAUUUGAGUAUGCAGAAAUGAGUUGUUGCUGCCAUGGGGGAAUCUAUGUGGAGCUAUGGGCAGAGAUUUCAAGUUUUGGAGAUGCAGCUUUUGCAACUGUUAGUUGUGGUACUGAUGUGGAUUGAUGAAGCUGAAAGUGCAGGGAUGUUGAGUGUGAUUGUGUUGCUGGUCUUGUGACUGAAUCAGUGUUGCAGCUGUGCAGUGUUGAUAUCGUGAAGGUUACAUGGAUUAGAUGAAUGCAUUAGGUUUACAGGGAAGCUACAAUGGAGCUUGCAGUUCAGUUGGAGAUGUUAAUGGUGCUGGUAAAGAUACACAAAAGUAUGGAGCUGUGAACUGAUGCCGCAGAUGAGAAUAGUGGGUGUGUGUGUCGAAUCAACAACAAACUGAGUACAAUGUGAACGACGAAUCUGGUGGCUUGCUGCCAUUGUCAAGUAGAUAUGGGAUUGCAGUUGAGUUGCUACGACAGCUUGGUGGUGAAGCAGUGGCGAUAUUGAACUCAUGGAGGAGGUGCAGAUAGGUUUGUUGAGCCGCAGUUGCAGUUCAAGCUGCUGGAAUAAUUGUGUUGCUGUAAUGAAUUGCGGAGUUGGUUGUGCAGCUGUAAUGGGUACAGAAGUAGCAGGUUUGUGAAGUGGUUUUGAUGGCAGGUGAAUGAGUUGAAGCACCAGCUGAGACAGGAAAAGAUGCAGAUUUGGAGUUGGUUGUGGAACUGGAGCUUAAAUGGAAGAAUGAGCUGGUAGGAUGCAGUGAUGCUGAAUGAAUAAGGAACCACGGAUGGAAGAGUGUUGUUGCUGCCAUAAUGGAGAGGAUACAACUGAGUAUGGAGCUGAGAUGCUGCCAGUGAUAGCUGUUGCUGCUUAUAAUGGGUUAUUGAAAUAUGCUGCUGUGGCUAGAUGGAUAAUUUCAGAGUUGCAUCUAAUGGGUUUAGGUUGAACUAGAACUGAUAGCAAAUAGUUGUGGCAGAGUCGCAAAGGAGUUGAAGCUGUUGCUCAUUACAGGACAGAGAAAAUGGAUCUGGUGGAUGUUUACAAAGGGUUUUGGGAAGCAGCAAAUGAAUUUAAGCAGGUGUUUAGUAGUGGGGUUAGCUAUUUGCAAUUUCAUGUGCAAGCAGAGAAUGAAUGAAGGGUAUGAACGUGUAUUGGUUCAUGACUGAGAUGGAUUCGAAUGGUCCGGGAAAGGAGAUGGAGUACAUCAAGUUGCAGCUGCAGCUGAAGCCGAAAUAAUGACGUUGGUGUCUGAAGCUGACGGAGUUAAUGAACUGAAUUGUGUUGUGGUGGAGCUCGCUGCAAGGAAUCCGAUGGCUGAGUUAGAAGAUAAUGAAGAUGCUGAUGCUGUGAACAUGGUACUGCAGAUGUUUGUGUUGUUGCAGGAGUGGACGAUGAAGCUGCAGAUGGUCUACCUUGAAUGGGUUUUUUUUAUGGCAGAACGAGUUCUCUGAAUAGAAAGGCAGUGCAGGGAAGACUCGCCUUUGAUUAAUUAAGAAGGCUGUAUGAUUAAUUAAAUGUUGUGUGUGUUGAGUGAUUGCAAGAACUGCAGGGAAGAAGAAUUAUGGGUUACAGUUAGCUGGUGGUGCUAGAGCUGGAUGCCUCGUCAGUUCCACAAGAUUGACAAGCUUAGUAAAUUCUACAUGGGCCUGUAUUGACUGGGUUAUGGCUGCUAGUGGGCUGGAACGUGAGUUAGUAAAUUGGAGGUGGUCGAGAUCUUUUGGAAAACCAAUUCACACAACUGGGAGGCCAUAUAACUUCUCUUUUGGAAUCUCUAAUAAAAAAUCAUCUUCGUCUCUACUUUUGUGUUCUAGGGUUUAGAAACAUGAUAGGUUUUCUUUUCUUUCUUGUUAUGAACUCCAUUCACAUGUUUAGAUAAUUUUAUCUUGGUUAAGGAAUAGGUUGGAAUUCCAACCAUGGUUUUUAUGCAAUGAAUUAGUUUUGUCUC